GCGAACGCUGGCGGCAGGCCUAACACAUGCAAGUCGAGCGGCCGUAGCAAUACGGCAGCGGCAGACGGGAGAGUAACACGUGGGAACGUACCCUUCAGUUCGGAACAACCAAGGGAAACUUUGGCUAAUACCGGAUACGCCCUUACGGGGAAAGAUUUAUCGCUGAAGGAUCGGCCCGCGUCUGAUUAGCUAGUUGGUGAGGUAACGGCUCACCAAGGCGACGAUCAGUAGCUGGUCUGAGAGGAUGAUCAGCCUCACUGGGACUGAGACACGGCCCAGACUCCUACGGGAGGCAGCAGUGGGGAAUAUUGGACAAUGGGCGCAAGCCUGAUCCAGCCAUGCCGCGUGGAUGAUGAAGGCCCUAGGGUUGUAAAGUCCUUUCGACGGGGAAGAUAAUGACGGUACCCGUAGAAGAAGCCCCGGCUAACUUCGU
rnacentral:rRNA from 1 species